rnacentral:rRNA from 1 species
AAUGCGCAGAUAUCAGGAGGAACACCGAUGGCGAAGGCAGUUCUCUGGGCCGUAACUGACGCUGAGGAGCGAAAGCGUGGGGAGCGAAACAGGAUUAGAUACCCUGGUAGUCCACGCCGUAAACGUUGGGCGCUAGAUGUGGGGACCAUUCCACGGUUUCCGUGUCGCAGCUAACGCAUUAAGCGCCCCGCCUGGGGAGUACGGCCGCAAGGCUAAAACUCAAAGGAAUUGACGGGGGCCCGCACAAGCGGCGGAGCAUGCGGAUUAAUUCGAUGCAACGCGAAGAACCUUACCAAGGCUUGACAUAUACGAGAACGGGCCAGAAAUGGUCAACUCUUUGGACACUCGUAAACAGGUGGUGCAUGGUUGUCGUCAGCUCGUGUCGUGAGAUGUUGGGUUAAGUCCCGCAACGAGCGCAACCCUCGUUCUAUGUUGCCAGCACGUAAUGGUGGGAACUCAUAGGAGACUGCCGGGGUCAACUCGGAGGAAGGUGGGGAUGACGUCAAAUCAUCAUGCCCCUUAUGUCUUGGGCUUCACGCAUGCUACAAUGGCCGGUACAAAGGGCUGCAAUACCGUAAGGUGGAGCGAAUCCCAAAAAGCCGGUCUCAGUUCGGAUUGAGGUCUGCAACUCGACCUCAUGAAGUCGGAGUCGCUAGUAAUCGCAGAUCAGCAACGCUGCGGUGAAUACGUUCCCGGGCCUUGUACACACCGCCCGUCAAGUCAUGAAAGUCGGUAACACCCGAAGCCGGUGGCCCAACCCUUGUGGAGGGAGC